rnacentral:lncRNA from 1 species
UGGUGGAUACAUAGAAUGGUUGAUAUUUAGAAAGAUUAGUGGACUCGUAAACAGACUAGUGGACACGUACACGGACUCUUGGACAUGUAAACAGACUGGUGGACACGUACACAGACUGGUGGAUAUAUAGACUGGUGGACAUGUAGACGGACUAGUGGACUCGUACACAUUCUGGUGGAUACAUAGACUGGUUGACAUGUAG